GCGGGUGUAGCUCAAUGGUAGAGCAGCAGCUUCCCAAGCUGAUGAUGGGGUUUCGACUACCCUCACCCGCUCCA
rnacentral:tRNA from 1 species